rnacentral:rRNA from 1 species
UACAGGCUUAACACAUGCAAGUCCAUUGGCAGCAUCAUCAAAGCUUGCUUUGAUGGAUGGCGACCGGCGCACGGGUGAGUAACACGUAUCCAACCUGCCGACAACACUGGGAUAGCCUUUCGAAAGAAAGAUUAAUACCGGAUGGUAUAGUUUUCCCGCAUGGGAUAAUUAUUAAAGAAUUUCGGUUGUCGAUGGGGAUGCGUUCCAUUAGGCAGUUGGCGGGGUAACGGCCCACCAAACCUACGAUGGAUAGGGGUUCUGAGAGGAAGGUCCCCCACAUUGGAACUGAGACACGGUCCAAACUCCUACGGGAGGCAGCAGUGAGGAAUAUUGGUCAAUGGACGAGAGUCUGAACCAGCCAAGUAGCGUGAAGGAUGACUGCCCUAUGGGUUGUAAACUUCUUUUAUACGGGAAUAAAGUUAGCCACGUGUGGUUUUUUUGUAUGUACCGUAUGAAUAAGGAUCGGCUAACUCCGUGCCAGCAGCCGCGGUAAUACGGAGGAUCCGAGCGUUAUCCGGAUUUAUUGGGUUUAAAGGGAGCGUAGGCGGGUUGUUAAGUCAGUUGUGAAAGUUUGCGGCUCAACCGUAAAAUUGCAGUUGAUACUGGCGACCUUGAGUGCAACAGAGGUAGGCGGAAUUCGUGGUGUAGCGGUGAAAUGCUUAGAUAUCACGAAGAACUCCGAUUGCGAAGGCAGCUUACUGGAUUGUAACUGACGCUGAUGCUCGAAAGUGUGGGUAUCAAACAGGAUUAGAUACCCUGGUAGUCCACACAGUAAACGAUGAAUACUCGCUGUUGGCGAUAUACAGUCAGCGGCCAAGCGAAAGCAUUAAGUAUUCCACCUGGGGAGUACGCCGGCAACGGUGAAACUCAAAGGAAUUGACGGGGGCCCGCACAAGCGGAGGAACAUGUGGUUUAAUUCGAUGAUACGCGAGGAACCUUACCCGGGCUUAAAUUGCAACUGACGGAACCGGAAACGGUUCUUUCUUCGGACAGUUGUGAAGGUGCUGCAUGGUUGUCGUCAGCUCGUGCCGUGAGGUGUCGGCUUAAGUGCCAUAACGAGCGCAACCCUUACGGGUAGUUACCAUCAGGUUAUGCUGGGGACUCUACCCGGACUGCCGUCGUAAGAUGUGAGGAAGGUGGGGAUGACGUCAAAUCAGCACGGCCCUUACGUCCGGGGCUACACACGUGUUACAAUGGGGGGUACAGAAGGCAGCUACACGGCGACGUGGUGCUAAUCCCAAAAGCCUCUCUCAGUUCGGAUUGGAGUCUGCAACCCGACUCCAUGAAGCUGGAUUCGCUAGUAAUCGCGCAUCAGCCACGGCGCGGUGAAUACGUUCCCGGGCCUUGUACACACCGCCCGUCAAGCCAUGAAAGCCGGGGGUACCUGAAGUACGUAACCGCGAGGAGCGUCCUAGGGUAAAACUCG